rnacentral:rRNA from 1 species
AUUGAACGCUGGCGGCAGGCCUAACACAUGCAAGUCGGGCGAGUGGCGGACGGGUGAGUAAUGUAUGGGGAUCUGCCUGAUGGCGGGGGAUAACUACUGGAAACGGUAGCUAAUACCGCAUACCAUCAGAUGAACCCAUAUGGGAUUAGCUGGUAGGUGAGGUAACGGCUUACCUAGGCGACGAUCCCUAGCUGGUCUGAGAGGAUGAUCAGCCGCACGAGGACUGAAACACGGACCCGCCUCCUACGGGAGGCAGAAGGGGGGACUAUUGCACGAGGGGCGCAAGCCUGAUGCAGCCAUGCCGCGUGUAUGAAGAAGGCCUUCGGGUUGUAAAGUACUUUCAGUCGGGAGGCGUUACCGUCAGAAGAAGCACCGGCUAACUCCGUGCCAGCCGCGGUAAUAC